GGCGAGGGGAGUGAAAAAGAACCUGAAACCGUGUACGUACAAGCAGUGGGAGCACAGGUUUACCUGUGUGACUGCGUACCUUUUGUAUAAUGGGUCAGCGACUUAUAUUCUGUAGCAAGGUUAACCGAAUAGGGGAGCCGCAGGGAAACCGAGUCUUAAUUGGGCGUUAAGUUGCAGGGUAUAGACCCGAAACCCGGUGAUCUAGCCAUGGGCAGGUUGAAGGUUGGGUAACACUAACUGGAGGACCGAACCGACUAAUGUUGAAAAA
rnacentral:rRNA from 1 species